ACGUAGGGUGCAAGCGUUGUCCGGAUUUAUUGGGCGUAAAGAGCUCGUAGGCGGUCUGUCGCGUCGGAUGUGAAAACCCAAUGGCUUAACCUUGGGCCUGCAUUCGAUACGGGCAGACUAGAGUGUGGUAGGGGAAACUGGAAUUCCUGGUGUAGCGGUGGAAUGCGCAGAUAUCAGGAGGAACACCGAUGGCGAAGGCAGGUUUCUGGGCCAUAACUGACGCUGAGGAGCGAAAGCGUGGGGAGCGAACAGG
rnacentral:rRNA from 1 species